CUCUCUCUCUCUUUUUUUUUUUUAAAACGUUGCCAAUAUAAUUUGCUGAGAAAUUGCAGACAGCUUGCAGGUCAGGAUAUUAAUUUUACUACUACAUAAUGUUAAGGGACCGGCAAUGUUGUAAAUAACUUUUACACAGCAAAAAAAUAUACUUUUCAGUGUGUAGUGGGUGGUAUAUUUAAUAUUUUUUCAGUAAUAUUUUAACUCUUAAGUUGGAGCUGUCCUUGACAAUCC